rnacentral:rRNA from 1 species
CCUACGGGGGGCUGCAGUGAGGAAUAUUGGUCAAUGGGCGGGAGCCUGAACCAGCCAAGCCGCGUGAGGGAAGAAGGUACAGCGUAUUGUAAACCUCUUUUGUCAGGGAACAAAGGCGGGGACUAGUCCCCGGAUGAGGGUACCUGAAGAAAAAGCAUCGGCUAACUCCGUGCCAGCAGCCGCGGUAAUACGGAGGAUGCGAGCGUUAUCCGGAUUUAUUGGGUUUAAAGGGUGCGAAGGCGGCCUGUUAAGUCAGCGGUAAAAGCCCGGGGCUCAACCCCGGCGAGCCGUUGAAACUGGCGGGCUGGAGUUGGAGAGAAGUACGCGGAAUGCGCGGUGUAGCGGUGAAAUGCUUAGAUAUCGCGCAGAACCCCGAUUGCGAAGGCAGCGUACCGGCUCCACACUGACGCUGAGGCACGAAAGCGUGGGUAUCGAACAGGAUUAGAUACCCCAGUAGUC